rnacentral:ncRNA from 2 species
UUCGGGGUAGGAAAUAAGGCGUUAAGUGCUGGAAGGACGGAAUGUGUCUUCCAGACGAAAGAUAAAACCUGCGAUCUUAUUUCCGCAUUCGCCGCA